AAUUUGCUAUCAUUCAAAACUUAUUCAAAGUAAAGAAUUUGCUCACAAACUCCCCCUUUUUUAUGAUGGCAAAUUUUUAGCAAGAUGUGUGAUACUCCCCCUGAGUUUGUGCAUAUCUGUCAACAUCUGCAUUUCUCCCCCUUUGUCAACAUCAAAAAGAAAAAAAAACAGUUUUAUCAAGGCAACAUGUUGUAGCAGGACACAGCAAAAAUGAUAAAGAAGCUAACAAUCACAAAGAAGGAAGCUUAA
rnacentral:lncRNA from 1 species